rnacentral:rRNA from 1 species
CCUACGGGGGGCAGCAGUGAGGAAUAUUGGUCAAUGGGCGCGAGCCUGAACCAGCCAAGUAGCGUGAAGGAUGACUGCCCUACGGGUUGUAAACUGCUUUUAUAAAGGAAUAAAGUGGGGCACGUGUGCCGUUUUGUAUGUACUGUAUGAAUAAGGAUCGGCUAACUCUGUGCCAGCAGCCGCGGUAAUACGGAGGAUCCGAGCGUUAUCCGGAUUUAUUGGGGUUAAGGGGAGCGUAGACGGGUUGUUAAGUCAGUUGUGAAAGUUUGGGGCUCAACCGUAGGAUUGCAGGUGAUACGGGCAGUCUGGGGGACAGUGGGGGUAGGCGGAGUUCGUGGUGUAGCGGGGAAAUGCUUGG